UGGCACCUGCUGUGAAUCGCAGUCAAUGUGAAAUUGAACUUACCUGAGCUUGAAUGAAAUCAGACCGAUUGCAUCUGGUUUCCUUCCUGUCUCCAGUUCCAGCUGACUUUGCUGGCACUAAUUCAUGAUCAUAAGACCCUGAGCUGCAAGUAUACUGACGGCAUCACUCACUUUGGUAAUGGGGUGGGUGGUCUGUGAUAAGGCAUGUGUACUUGGGUGCUGGUGCUGCUUUCAUGAGCAUUCUCUGGUCUUGCCACUUCAAAGCUCUUCCUUUUUUUUCCAGAAACUUGAAGACUGCAUUUCUUAUUCUGGGGUUCACACUGGAGCUGGACUGAAUGCGUGGCCUCAUCACGCGGACAGAUGUUUUGCUGCAUGUAGCCUUCUGACCAGCAGUGGCAUCUCAAGAAACCCUGAUGUCUGUCAGCAGCACUGGUGAGCAGCUGGGAAUUUCUGUGUGUCCUGCAGCCUGCUGAGCCCCAGUACUGGCAGCUGGGUACCCUGGACUUUCUGCCACUGUCUCCAGUUCACCACAGAAUGGCUUGCCCAGUCCCCAUAGCCAACCUGACCCACAUCACACAGCAGUCCUAUUCAAGUUACAUUUUCAGUGAGAGUCCUUCCGGAGUGAUCAUUUCCUGGGAGGACAGUGCGAUGAUGGAGGUAAAGUCUCCCCCCAUGAACAGAAGGCUUCUGGGCCUCCACAGGGGCAGUGCCUUGGAGGACACCUUUCAGACUGGGGAGAGGAGUAGCGUCUAAAAAUUCUUCCAAAGGCAUGUGCUGUCCAAGGAGAGAGGCUAGGACACAAAAUACAGAAUUUCAAGAGUAAUUCUCUAUUCAUGGCCAUGAGGUGUACCAGUCAAAUUGUGGGGCAUCCUGAGCGUGGUUUUACAGAAUCAGAAUUGUUAGGGUUGGAAGCGAACUCUGGAGAUCUUCCAGUCCAACCCCUUGCCAAGGCAGGGCCACCCAGAGCAAGUUACACAGGAAUGUGUCUGGGUGGUUUUGGAAUGUCUCCGGAGAGGAGGACUCCACAGCCCCCCUGGGCACCCUGUUCCAGUGCUCUGACACCCUCACUGGAAAGUUCUUCCUCAUGUUGAGAUGAAACUUGUUGUGCUUUAGUUUAUGGCCAUUGCUCCUCAUCCUGUCGCUGGGUAGCACUGAAAGGAGUCUGGCACCAUCCUCUUGGCACCUGCCUUUCAGAUAUUUAUAUGCAUUGAUGACAAUCCCUUCUCAGUCGCCUCUUCUCUAGACUAAACAGGCUGUGGUUCUUACACAUGGUUCUUACACCUUUCAAGCGCUCAGUGGUUUGACCAGUGCCUACUCAACACACACAUAUACUCCUGUUUUGCAAAGCAGCUCUAAUUGCGUGGCGUUGUCCUCCAUCUGCUUCUUUCUUGACCAAGACAUCCCUGCAGCUGGUCUUGCUGCCGUACCUUCUCUGUGCUGCGAGGUGAGGGAAGGGUUUCACUGAGAUGUCAGAGGGGCUGGGCUGCUGCUCUGUUCUGGGUAGUGCAGAGGUAUCCUUUCUUCUUCAGAGUUGGGGCUGUUCUUCUCCCCCUUGCAGUGAGCUGGGGUUCUUCAGUUGUGCUACUGAACCACAGCUAUGCAGCUUACAGUGUCAACUAUAUGUACCUGAAGAAAGUUCAUCCAACUUCAUAGUCUAAAGACCAAUUGCUACAAUAGUUAGGGAAAGAGAUUGUCCUGACAGUGCCUCCUUUUCUUGUGACCUUUAGGGUCACACUGUCCUAUUCACUGUUCAAGUCAUAAGUUGAGUCCAUAAGGUCACACAACACUGAGAACAGACAUACAUCUUUACAAAGCAAAACAAGAGAGGGACUACAACAACUCAGCUCCUUUUAGUUCACAGUCCUCUACCUUUGUUGGGAGUCAGGAAGUUAGCCACCCAAAUAGGUUUAGUGGAAAUCCCUGCCUUACUUCAUGUAAUAUUUUUUAAUGAGUCUUUAUCUUGUUUCUCUCAGUUUUGUUGUUCUGGUACUGAUUCACAUAAAACCCCAGUGGCUAUUAGUCAAUACUGCACAUGCUCUGUCAUGCACAUUCUCUGUCCUGUAGUUCUAAAAGGUGGUCUAGAGCUGAUUGAUUCCGUAUUACCAUUUGUGAUAAGGAUUUGGUUUCUUCCUGUAGGGCUAUAAUGGUGUUUGCGCUUUCAGGAAUGGCUUUUUCUAAUUGCCUUGACAUAUUUGCUGUAUAGCUUGUUCUAGUUUUGCAACCCCUCACUGUGAUACAAAAGCUGUUACAGAGAGGGGGAAUUUAGAGCUACAUUCUGCCAGAGGGCUGCAACACUUUUUCCUGUAGCUAUCAGUAGUUAAGAGUGAGGGGAUCAGAAGAGAUACUGAUUCUAACCUGGGCCUCUUCCAGUGCUGGUGGUUCAUUUGCUACUUUUUAGUCCUUUCCUGCAGAGUUCAAGCAACUAUGGAUGUGUGACACUGGGGAAGUCCAUUGGUUGAUGGCAAUAAACAUAAAUGGUCAUUGGCU